GUUGAAAGUGUCUCUCGCUGUAGCUUAAGAACCUUCCAAGAUGGCCUACUAGUUUCCAUCCACAAGAAUUAGGUCUGCUCAGGAAAUUAUGGAUGGUCCUCCUGAAGCAGCUUGGGCUUGGGAUCAAGGAUCCAUCCUUACAGGGUUUCAAGCAAUCUGUUACCCAUCCAGAUCUUGCAUCAGUAGACUACACAACCCACCAGACCACACCUACAACAAAGUUUAGGAGUGCAAGAACCACCAGAUCCACUAGAAGACAAGCAGAAUGACUUGGGUAUGUACACUGUCUGGUUUUUGAUGAAAAUGUUCUUUGUCUUGUCUUCCUCCGUUUUUCAACCUGCGGUCA